GACAGAGGGUGCAAACGUUGUUCGGAAUUACUGGGCGUAAAGCGCGUGUAGGCGGCUAUGCAAGUCGGAUGUGAAAGCCCUCGGCUCAACCGGGGAAGUGCACCCGAAACUGCAAAGCUAGAGUCUCGGAGAGGAUCGUGGAAUUCUCGGUGUAGAGGUGAAAUUCGUAGAUAUCGAGAAGAACACCGGUGGCGAAGGCGGCCAUCUGGACGGUGACUGACGCUGAGACGCGAAAGCGUGGGGAGCAAACAGG
rnacentral:rRNA from 1 species